GAACCACCCUUUAGACUUCCAGUGCUUCUGGCUUUAAUAUUCUGUGCUAGAUUCACAGAGCUCUUCUACAGAUGCUAAGCAUUCAAUCCUGAAGGCUCCACUUCAUCAUCAGGUUGGUGGCACUAAUGCGGAAGAAAUGUCUUGUGCAACUAGGAUUUUCGUGGACAUUGUCUCUCAAAGGUGCAGGGACGACUGAAGAAACUGAAUAACCCUUGAACUUGAUUCUGCACCAUAACAAAUGAGGAGGAAAGAAGUAAGGGUGGGUGCACAUGUGAAUAAGGUAGGUAAAUCUUUCUUGGUG